rnacentral:rRNA from 1 species
GGUGGUCGAUUUUGCGGCUGCUGGGGGCUGAGGGAUCCCCUUUCUAGGGUGAGGACGACGGGGCGCCGACGCGAUACGACCCGUCUUGAAACACGGACCAAGGAGUCUAGCGUAGCUGCGAGUCGUAGGGUAUUGAAACCUGAGGGCGCAGUGAAAGCAAAUUGUAUUUUUUGAAAAAACUAAGUUUUUUUUGGCAGUUUGGGGCGGCAUACGAUCUUUGAUUGUAAGUCCGACCUUGAGCAGUUAUGCUAGGACCCGAAAGAUGGUGAACUAUGCCGGAGUAGGGCGAAGCCAGAGGAAACUCUGGUGGAGGCUCGUAGCGUUGCUGACGUGCAAAUCGCUCGUUAAACUCGGGUAUAGGGGCGAAAGACUAAUCGAACCAUCUAGUAGCUGGUUUCCUCCGAAGUUUCUCUCAGGAUAGCAGGCCGAAUGUAAGUUGUUGUGUGUGGUAAAGCGAAUGAUUAGCGUACUUGGGGGCUUUAUGCCUCCAGACGAUUCUCAAACUUUAAAUGCGCACGGAUGUUGCUGCUUUGUUGAGUGGCAUCGUCAAAAACUUCGGCUUUGUGGGCCAUUUUUGGUAAGCAGAACUGGCGAUACGGGAUGAACCGUAAGUGUGGUUAAGGCGUCAAAGUAUCCGCUUAUAGAUUCCAAAAAAGGUGUUGAUUCAUUAUGACAGCAGGACGGUGGCCAUGGAAGUCGGAAUCCGCUAAGGAGUGUGUAACAACUCACCUGCCGAAUGAAUUAGCCCUGAAAAUGGAUGACGCUUAAGCGGGUGGCCGACACCACGCCGUCUGAACAAAUAAAUUUUUGAAAGGGAAGCAGGUUGACAUUCCUGCACACGGAUGUGGAGGCGGUGACGCACUUCUGGGACGAUUAAGCUGGCGAUGGCACUGGGCAGAGUUGUCUUUUCUGUUUGACCGUACCAUACGCGCUGUGUGGAAUCCGCUUGUCGGGAGAAACACGCGUGUUUGGGCAGAGCGCCGGGGUUUUUCCGGUGUCCAGACCGCCAUCGACGGACCUUGAAACAUCGUCUGCUGGCAGAUUAUUUCCAAGUUCAAAAUUUAUUUUGUUCUUAGAAUUCUGUGUGAAAAAUCCACGCCGUAACGUACCGAUAACCGCAUCAGGUCCCCAAGGUGAACAGCCUCUG